UACGUAGGUGGCAAGCGUUGUCCGGAUUUAUUGGGCGUAAAGAGCGCGCAGGCGGUUCGUUAAGUCCGAGGGGAAAUCUCCCGGCUCAACUGGGAGGGGUCUUCGGAUACUGGCGGACUUGAGGAGUGCAGAGGUGAGUGGAAUUCUCGGUGUAGUGGUGAAAUGCGUAGAUAUCGAGAGGAACACCAGCGGCGAAGGCGGCUCACUGGGCACCACCUGACGCUGAGGCGCGAAAGCGUGGGGAGCGAACCGG
rnacentral:rRNA from 1 species